rnacentral:rRNA from 1 species
AGAAUCAACGCUGGCGGCGUGCCUAACACAUGCAAGUCGAACGAGAAAGUGGAGCAAUCCAUGAGUAAAGUGGCGACCGGGUGAGUAACACGUGACUAACCUACCUUCGAGUGGGGGAUAACCUCGGGAAACCGAGGCUAAUACCGCAUAACAUCGCAAGAUCAAAGCAGCAAUGCGCUUGAAGAGGGGGUCGCGGCUGAUUAGCUAGUUGGCGGGUAACGGCCCACCAAGGCGAAGAUCGGUA